rnacentral:rRNA from 1 species
UACAGAGGUCUCAAGCGUUGUUCGGAUUCAUUGGGCGUAAAGGGUGCGUAGGUGGCGGGGCAAGUUUGGUGUGAAAUCCCGGGGCUCAACCCCGGAACUGCACUGAAUACUGCCUUGCUUGAGCACUGGAGAGGGAACUGGAAUUUACGGUGUAGCAGUGAAAUGCGUAGAUAUCGGGAGGAACACCUGUGGCGAAAGCGGCUCACUGGACCAUAACUGACGCUGAUGCACGAAAGCUGGGGAGCAAACAGG